UGCAGGGUCACCAAUCACCAGCCCAGGCUGCCCAGAGCCACAUCCAGCCUGGCCUUGAAUGCCUCCAGGGAUGGGGCAUCCACAGCCUCCUUGGGCAACCUGUUCAGUGCAUCACCACCCUCUACCUCUACGUCUCUGUUAUGGCCCUUACUUAGCUGGAAUCAGCAGUGGUUCUCACUUCUGUUGUCAAGGAGGUAGAGAGUGUUGGUACUGAUCUGGGGAGGUUUAUUUUGCUUCAUUAUUAGUAACAGCAUAUGCAAAAUAUUCCAUAACAAAUCUUUGCUAUACCACCUGCUGGGCACUACCUGUGAGCAGGCAGGCAAGGCGUGGUGCAUUAAUGCAGCAAUCCAUUCUUUUAUCACAACACAAGGAAUACUUCCACACACACACACAGAGGGGUGCUGGCUUCUGAUGCUUUACAGUGCUUUUACUGUUCUUGUUGUAUUAAAGUUUAAUUACUUUUUAACUUAGAUAUUUACACAGAACAUAAACUGUUCAGAAGGAUAACUGUCAACCAGCCAAGACCUCCUUGGCAGGACUUUGAGAUCAUAUUUUACUCUUCUGGUGAUGGCAGCUCUGGCAGAGAAAUGCUUCAGUUCUGAGAAUUACGUCUAUGUAUGUUUGAUCCCUUUGGGGAGACUGCCAAAGCACCAAGAUUAAUUAGCAACUUACCCAAAAUACACUCCCCAUUAGAUAGAUCUUAAGGGGUUCCUUGUCACAGCCUGCUUUAUAAAAACACAUUUUGAAAUAUUAAUGAAUCCAUAUCACAAAAGAUGACAUUUUGAACUCUAUCUCAGUGCCCGUUCUCAUCUCCACGCUCACUAAAAUGACAGUUAUUAGUUUUGUGACAGCUCUGCACUUACAUCAGCUUUGCAGAGCUCUGGCCAGAUCACAGAAGAGAAACUCGCCUGAUGGACAAAUACUGCAUCAUUAUGUUCCCAGCUACCGCAACUUCCUCAAUCAAUAGAGCUUUAGAAGUAAAUAAGAUAACAGGGAUGCAUUCAAACUGAUGCAUGACCACAGUGCAAAAAUAAUUACAAAGGCUUUUAGUAAUUGUUUUGAAAUGUACACUCUCUUUCCCAAGGGAACACAACAAGGGAGAGGUACCAAUUCAUUUGCCUAAGCCCUAGGAAAACGUUACAGACACAGGCAGGCUGAAAUGAAGACAGGGACAACCUCGCAUUCCUGGUAGCAGUGGAUGUUUCACCCAUCCUUCUUAAUUCCCAAACUGGUUCUGAUCAUAUUAAUUUUCAUCGGCCAUUGAAGCUGAGAGGUGGAGCCUGUGCUGAGCUUAAGAGUCCUUUGCACAGCAGCUGAUACACAAAACCUCUAAAUCUAAUUAAACACAACAAUGGAAGAGCCAACCCUUAAAGGAAGGUUUCCCUACAGAGGUUACCACCAAUUUAAACACCAGUAAGACACUCUCAGCUGUGUGCCCAAGACCAAUGUUCUAUUUCAACUUGCUUGGGGAGCAGUAGGGAGGCGUGCAUGUCCUCCCAAAGUGCUCAGUGCAGUAUUUCAGUGGACUGCAAUGAGAAAACACCCCUGGAGCACAGCAGGCUAUCUAACACAGAAAGCUCCUGUCAAGGAGCCUAGAACUCUACAAAACAGAAUCACAACGAUGACAGUGUGCUGUGAGCAGAGCAGGACUGCCUCAUGGUGAAUGUACUGGGUUAAGACUCAGAAAAUCACACUACACUUCAAGCAAUUAUCAUCCCCUGAGGAGAGAAGGAAUAGGCUUUCCUACCUCAGUGGGCAGUAAAGGCUCUGCUGGGAGCAGUGCUCUCCACAGCAGUGUGCUGGUGGUGAACAAGUACUUUUUCAGGGAAAAGCAUGCUUGGUCCAGGCUUCCAGACACGCUGUGCUGCGUCACUUCAGGGCUGGCACUUGCAGUAUGUGCUUUCCUGCAGAAGCCUCCAGCAGCAGUAAGCCUGGGGACCGCAGCACAACCUGCUGCAUGUUUUUCUUCUUCACCUGACCUUCAGACCGACAGAGUACAGUAAUAGUCAAGAAGCAUGAGGUCACCCACUCAUUCACUCCUCUGGCAGCCCCAGCACGUGUGAGCAUGGGGGGGCAGUGUAAUUAAAGUGCACUGCCAAGGGGUUUGUGCUGAAACAGCAUCAGAGGGACAGCUCAAGAACCCCCCUCAGUUACAGAACCAGAUGUUACUGUAGCUAUGCUCCAUAUACUGAUGCUACUAAAAAUAAACCAGGAAGACAUUCCUCACCUAAGGCUCAGGAGGGUUCUGGUAUGCAGCUGAGUCAUGCAACAAUCAUUAAAAUCAACACAACUUCAUCUCUGGUUUACACUCUAUCAGCACAAGCCAAAAAAAUAUGCCUUUGACAUAUCUAAAAAGCAACACUGCACCCACUGGAACAAGGCACAAAGAAGUAAUCUGGAGGUCAAGGUCUUCUGGAAACAACUGCACAAAUAAGAAAGAAAUGCAUUAAGAAAGGAGGAAGUAAUGCACUUUUUUUUUUUUUAUUUAUUAUUUUCCACAAAGAAUAGGAGAGAAUGUGUUCAGUGCUUGAGGAAGACAUGAGAUCGACAGCAACAUCCUUAGUCAACAAAGCAGCACAAGCCUCUCCCACCUGUUAGCACUGCACACGUUUUGCACUGCGCUGCCAACAGAUCAGCUGUGCCAGGAGCUUAGAGAAAUUCAUCAGCACCGGGUCAGCUCAACGGUGUAACACAACCUCUGCUUCUGAUGACCUGUCCUUUUCCCACACUAGCCUUAGCACUGAAGAGUAUAUCCUUAGAUGCCAUUUGUACCUAAGCUACUUAGAGGGCAUGUGUGUAUGCAGACAUACAUGCAGGUAAGGGAUUCUAGAAAUGUCAGCUGCAUUUAAUCAGAUGAUGCUUAUACUUAAGUAAGAGGAAGCUAUCAAGCCUGCAUGCAUGUACAGAAAGACUGUGACAUGCACAUUGGUAUCAUCAUGCUACCAGUGGGGACGUUGCUGCUGCUCAAGCACACAGUCCUAAUUAGUGACUCAUCUGCAGGACCUCAGUCCUCAGAACUGCAUCCAACACGCUGGAUUGGACUGUCCCAAAAUGUUGUUCUUUCACACCUUCUUUCUUCAUUUCCUUAAUGCAAAGCACUCUUUGCAGACACUAAAGGUCUCCCUGAAACGCUCCACGGUGACUGCUUAAAAUCUAGUUAUUUCAUACAAGUUCUAUUCACCUUUUUUCUACAGUAGACAGCAGCGAAACAACACAUCCCUGAUGUGCAGCAGGCCUUACCCUGAGAUGGUGCAGCCUUAAGUUACGUGUUGGUUUCACUUCAACAUGAGAAAACAAACAUCAACACAAGCCUAGGAAAAGGACCCAACUGCUGCUGUAGUGUUAAAAUAAACACAGCAAAACCCACAAGAUUUCCCAGUUAAAUAAAUGAAUGACAUCCAAACUUGUGCGUUCAUCUCUGAAAAGCCUGAAGCACUUUAACUUGCAUGCAGGCACCUUUAGGACAGCAGCCCUUCUUCAGCUCCACACUCAAAGAAAUGGAGAAUGUACAAAAAACAGACCAGCCAACAGGUAACACCGAGCAGCCACAGCAGCUGCCAGAGCCACAGAGCACCUGGCUGCCAGAAUGUGCCUCGUGGUGUCCUGCAGCCAGCGUGGAGCUGAGAGGCCCAGCUCAGAUGCAAGAACUGCCUGAAACAAGCUCAUUUUGCACAUCUAUGGCCACGCAGAUAUCCAUCUUGUAUCCCUCUAUGUGUGGGUUUAAACAGGAACCAAGGGAAUUCAGGGUGCAAUGAAACUCCCCUUCCCAGACAACCAAGGCCCACUCCUCCUUCCCCACCCACAGAUGACACCAAUGUCUCCAGCUCUUUUCCAGGAAAGCUGCAGUACUGGCGUCUCCUGCAGGCAUCCAUCCUCACUCCAGGGAUAACAUCACAGAGCAGAACUUGGCUACACACACAGGCUUCAGCUUCAAGUUCAGUCUCAGUUGGACCACUGCAAAUUUACUAUUCCAGUUUAAAACUUGUUAUACAGGUUGAGCUUACUGCUGGAAAAGCCAACCUACCUACCCAGCCACUGCAAGCCAGCCUUACAACCGCCUUAAGAGCUCUCAUCCCCCACAGUACUGUUUGUUUCAUCUCACAAAUUACUUCACUAUGGAGGUGAAAAACCUUACAGCUGCUUUAGGCAGCUUUGCACCGAGAUGAGCCAUGCAGCUCCCAGACAGCGCCUAUCUCCUGUCUGCUAACUGCCAGCACUCAGCCAUUACAGACACAGCACUGCUGCAGGGGCUCCACGUUCUCCAGCUUUUAGAGGGAGACAGCACGCUCAGAAAGGUUACAUCAAAGCAAGAGCCAGUUGUCCAGGUCAUCAGAACAGCCAGCAGUCCUCAUCACAGGAAAGCCAUCACCAAAGCACUGAGAAUAAAGAAUCUGCAUUGAGAAUCAGUGGAAAACGUUUCACUGAAAACCUGGCAAAUUCAACAUUUGGUGAGGGAAGGACAGAGCUCCUGAAAAUGAAGCAGUCUGCAAAAAGGCGAAGCUGCAACUCCAAAUGCCAAAGUAUGUAUUUGCAUAGCUUACCCUCCAUGUUGCCUUUGUUUUAGCAGUAGUGUAUGCAUGUUCUCUAUUUACUCUCCCACACACGGCACACUGCAUGUCCUCCCCUUCUCCCACCCACAGAUAAACUGGCUCUGCAAACAAAACAUGUUCAGAUAACUGCGGAGGUCCUGAAAAAAGGACAGUGCUGUUCCCUCUGGGGAAGCAAAGAUACCCAUGUAAAUCAAGUUGCCUGCUUGGGAUGUUGUUCUAGUCUCCUGAGGAUAGGAUCAAGUACAUACCUUAUAAUUAAUUUAGCUGUCACUUGUGUAACACAUCCUUACUCCUACACACGGAGAGACAAAUAAUAGCUUAAUGCUCCUUUGUUGUUGUUGUUGUUGUUGUUUUUAAAUCACAGCCAUUCCUGCUGGGUAAAGCAGCCUUAAAGUAAACACAUACCUAGCCUUUCACGUUCCUUCCAAUGAUCAGAAACAACAAAACAGCUAUUUAUGAACCAGAAAGGUCAAUGCACUUCUGCAGGGGACAGAUGCACGUUACAGCCUGAGGGUGGGAAAGUCUGAGACACAGUGCUACUGACCUAAAGGGGUUUUGGUUACAACUGUGUGGAAGAUACCUCCACUGCAGUUCACGCUGCACUGGUAACCCAGACAGACCCUCAUUCCCCACUCAUGUAACAGUAAGCUGUGCAGUCAUCCUGCAAUGUUUUAUCGAUAAGGCUCCACUAAUUUUGUGUUAGCUUACACAUGUGCAAUCAGCCGUCAAAAUCGGAUCUACAGUGCAGGUGGUUUCAAAGCAGAAAGAGAAGCACAUGGCCUGGAAAAUCAUAGAAUCACACAAUGGUUUGGGGUGGAAACGCAGAACUGCUGUCAAGGUGCAGAACAAGACUCAAAAAGCUAACCUUGAUUUACCAUUAGGAGGCAAGGAUUAAAACACGCUGUGUUACAGGGGAACAUCUUACCAGUAAGUAAGAAAGUAACCAAGGAAUAAGUGACUGAAGCCAAGAUCUAUGGCAAACAGCCCUCAACCCUGGAAACAGCAGUUCCUAAAGGGAACACCACCAAAGAAACACUGUGACUGCGAUACAUCAGCCACUACCACAACUUCAGACACACACCUGAAGCAGCAAGGCAGCAUCUGUAAAACCUCUGCCAAUUCUCAAAGUUGGGCAGCCCUAAAGGCAGCAAUAAGCACAUUAAGCACCAUCUGAAUUGCCGUGAUUAAGUGACUUCUCUGAUUGACUGUUUAAUACAGCUUUGUUUGUUUGCUUUCCUUCUUACCUGCUGAUGUUGCCUGGCUCCUGCUGUGAUAGACUUCACAAGGAUGUCUAUUAAUGGCUUGCACAUGAUCUGUAACAAUAAGAGAUUGAGUCUUUCUUUAUCUUAUUAGCUUGAGCAAGAAGAAAAUUCCACAAGAAAGCUGUCCAGAGACCAGCAACACCUUAUUUGAAAACAAACAACUUUGUUCACAGCAGCCCUGGGUGAAAUCUUGAUCACAGCAAAACCAGCAGCAAAACUUUUUACUUGGAAAAGACGAGGAAAAUGCCUGGUUCUUGAUUUAAGUCCGCACCCCCCUGAUAUUUUCUGUAGGCAGCUCACUUCGUGCAAAGGAAAACAUGCUGAGUUAGACUAGAGAAAGUCAGAGCUGGGAAAAGGUCCCAUUCCAUGCCCUAAAGGGCCAGAAACAGCUGUCAGGACAGCAUCUUUGGAGAUAUGUUAUCUUAGAAUCAUACCCUGCAACAAUUCAUGAUCAAAACAACAUUUCCAGGGCAGGGUUUCAUGUCAGCAAAGCCUGCUGAAUCUCUUUUCUGGCCUAAUCCAACAAUUUCCAGGUUUCUAUACAAAAUCCUUCCAACUCCAUGGGAAGAAAGAGUCCAGACACAAGAAAUAAGAAAGCAUGUGAAUUGCAAAUACCUUACUGGCAGAUUUCCAAUGCCAUCUAUCAGGCACUGGAAGAAACAGAAACAGCAACGUGCUGUAAAGUUCACUAACACGGUGUGCAGGUGGUUAUUUCAACCACACCACCUAAAACAGCUUCCUUCAGGGACAAGAAGACUACUAAAAGAACAGCUCCAGCAAGUGGGUAAAACCCAGCUUUAAAAAAGCCAGUAGCCACAGAAAUCAUUGCUUUUGUAUUAUAAAAGGGAUGAGCUUAAAGAUUUAAAAUGACAUUUCUGCAAGAAACAGCUGUAUGGAAUCCACAAACUUGAGAAACCUGGACAGGAGCUAUUUAAACAAUCCCUUCUGCCUUUGUGUAAGCACUGCUCAUCCAUGUGGUCUUGAAUACAGGUAGCAAAUUAGAGCUUCUCAGAGCAUCCUUUAAUAAGCAGCCUUUUAUUCACCUACAUUCUCCAUGCUGUAUCCCAAUCCAAACCAGAGCGGUCUUCUGCAGCACUGGUAUGAAAACACGCAGUAUUCAGAGUUUAAGAAGGUGAAAAUCCGAGGAAGCCCAGCAGCAAUUCUAACAGCCCACAACAAAAUGGAAAAGUUUCUCUCCUUUCCCCAGGCUCACAGCUGUAUUUUGGAGCCACCAGAAGGAAGUGCACCAUAAGGCAGCACCACUUACC